rnacentral:rRNA from 1 species
UACGGGGGGGAGCAAGCGUUGUUCGGAUUUACUGGGCGUAAAGGGCGCGUAGGCGGCGCGACAAGUCACUUGUGAAAUCUCCGGGCUUAACCCGGAGCGGCCAAGUGAUACUGUAGUGCUAGAGUGCGGAAGGGGCUACUGGAAUUCUCGGUGUAGCGGUGAAAUGCGUAGAUAUCGAGAGGAACACCUGCGGCGAAGGCGGGUUGCUGGGCCGACACUGACGCUGAGGCGCGAAAGCCAGGGGAGCGAACGGG